rnacentral:rRNA from 1 species
GACGAACGCUGGCGGCGUGCUUAACACAUGCAAGUCGAACGGAAAGGCCCUGCUUUUGUGGGGUGCUCGAGUGGCGAACGGGUGAGUAACACGUGAGUAACCUGCCCUUGACUUUGGGAUAACUUCAGGAAACUGGGGCUAAUACCGGAUAGAAGCUCCUGCUGCAUGGUGGGGGUUGGAAAGUUUCGGCGGUUGGGGAUGGACUCGCGGCUUAUCAGCUUGUUGGUGGGGUAGUGGCUUACCAAGGCUUUGACGGGUAGCCGGCCUGAGAGGGUGACCGGCCACAUUGGGACUGAGAUACGGCCCAGACUCCUACGGGAGGCAACAGUGGGGAAUAUUGCACAAUGGGCGGAAGCCUGAUGCAGCAACGCCGCGUGCGGGAUGACGGCCUUCGGGUUGUAAACCGCUUUCGCCUGUGACGAAGCGUGAGUGACGGUAAUGGGUAAAGAAGCACCGGCUAACUACGUG